AAAUUUCCUGCUCCUCUCCCCAUCCCCCAUUGUCGCUACCCACCAGAUCGGAGGUCCUCCUGCUCCAGCCAGGUCGAACGCCGCCCCCUCCUCAUCUGCGGUAUCUCGGCGGCCGCCUCACUCACAACCUUCUCCUCCGUGGCUCAAUCCGCUCGAACGCCUCCGCGAACCCUAGGCGAGAACGGCGGCGGCGGCCCCGGGGACGGAGGCCGCCGCAUCGGCGGGAGAACAUAUUGGUGCGCCGCCUCGUCCUCCACGAAUCCGGCAGAGGAACAUACUGGUGCGCCGCCACCUCAUGGCGGAGGAGACGGGCGCCACUGUCCUGUCGGCGCCGUACUGCCUCAUCCCUAGGGUUCGGGUGGCCUCGUCGCCGUCUUUUGCUCCGCUGGUGACGCCUCACGUGGGAUUUAUUGUUUUCUGCUGUGCUGGAUAGAAAGAUUCCUUGGUCUCGACCAGUAAACCUCCAAUCCAACAUGUCCCCCAUGGAGUGGUUUCAGCAAGGAAGAUGGAGAGCCCAUUCUCUCACUCACAAGGGUUGACAUCUCUUUGUCCCUUUCAGAAUCUGAGUUAUUUGAUGUAGAAAUUGUGGCUGAGGAUCGUCCAAUGGAGAUUCCUGAUCCCCAAUUCUUGGGCAUCGAGAAUAACACGAAUCUCAAGUGCCACCAUGGGAGCUGCUGGAGAGGAAGGUAGCUU